UGAGAGCUGGCCUGUGAACCAGAAGGUCACUGGUUCGAUUCCCGGUCAGGGCGCAUAACGCCUCAAGAAUGCUGUCUUGCCUGGGGGCUGCACCCGCCCUGCCAGGCCAGAGCUGUCCCCCGAGCAUCACAGACAGGGUGCCUCUGAGGACACAUUCUCCUGGUUUUUGCUUCUCUAGCAAGAACUCCCGUCACUGCUGUGGCCCCAGAAACGUGUUUGACUCGCAGUCAGCGCUCGGCCGGCGUCUGUUAGGCACCUGUGGGCGUGAGCGAGACGCAGGGAGCCGGAGGGCCGGUGCAGUGGAGCUCACGCAUCCAUAACGGGGAGGCCAGCUUCUCAAAAAAAAAGAAAAAAACAGCCGAGAGGCCUGAGGUCCCCCAGCCGAGCGGCCCGGGCAACUGAAACCAGAAGUGCAGAUGGGAUGAGUCACCCCGGGAGCCUGGCAACGCUGGCACCGAACACACUCCGCAUCCAAACACACCACAACGCGGCGGGCCCUCGCGUCGCCAGGGCCCCAGGUUCACCCAUGUUUCAUAGUCCGGCGUGUGGAUGGGCCACAUUCUAUUUCUCCAUCCAUUGGUGUAUGGACAUUUUGGGUGUCUUCUGAAUAGCGCCUCCGCGAACACAUGUGGAUACAUGUUUUCGUUUCCCUUGGGAACAUUUCUGGGCGUGGAAUCUUUCUUCUCAAAGGAAGAAAAAAAAAAUCCCCGAGUCAAAAACAUACAGCACGGAGAGGAUUUAAAAUGCCGCUGGUGGCGGGGACGGAGCAAGGGAACUUCACGGGCCUGGGGGCAGCAGCUGCGCGGGGCACAUACCAGAAGCUCGGGGACUGUUUAGGAAGGCAUGCCCAAAUUCUUACUCAUCCUGGGGUCCCCGGAAAAAAGGCUCGGGGGUGGGAAUGCGACAAAAAUGGGCCCCGAUCUAUUCAUUCAUUCAUUCAUUCAUUCAUUCCACAAAUAGAGCAGGAUAUAGUAGUUCGAUGUCAUUUGAGCCUAUUCAAGUGUUAAGAGUCUCUUGGACAGACACUGAGAGGCAGCUCCAGCCCCUGCGUGUGGGACCCGGUCUGGAAGGGAAAACGUAGCCCCAUGGAACAGGGGGAGAGGCAGGACGCCUCUGUCCCCUCUCACGCCCUGUGCCAACGGGCACGCCCCCCCGACUCCUGGUCCCCAGGGCACAGGCAGCAGUGGGGACAGAAGGCUCUGUCCCCAGGAGGACCGAGGUCUGCCCCUAAGGCCCCGUCCUUGGGGAGUCCCUGCUCCCGUCUGUCUGUCUGUCUGUCUGUCUGUCUGGCUGAGGCCCUUUUAGGCAACAGAGGACAUGUUGCCUAGGGCCUUUUCCCGACUGUUGGUCGGAAUAGUUCCGCUGGACCCUCGAGGCCAGUCCAGGCUGUGCCGGGCACCCCGGGAUGCUUGGGGUCAGAGAUGAACAAGGACAGUUCAAGUUCACCCAGACCCCCGACCGGGUAGUGGGACACGGGGCCCACAAGCAACCCGGAAGGAUGAGCGGACUCAGAGUCGGCCACUCGUGUUGGAGCUGCCCCGGGGGCUCCUGUGUGAGAAUCCACAACCUUCGGUGUUUCACGGACUGUCGGACACAUUCCCACCCCUCUUCCCGGCAUCCGUUAGGUUCCCAGGGCUUUAACGUGCGCCCUUGUUUUAAAGAAGAUGUUCAUUUGCUCAUGGGUAGACAUUUAUCAAGCGCCUACUAUGCGCCAGGUCCUCAGAGGGACAGGGACAAGUAAGACUUGACCUCCUCCCCCACUCAGGGCCUCAUUACCGGGUGGGGGGGGGAGACCAGCGGCUGGGGGAGCCCUGGGCAUGCGCAGGUUGGGGCACUGGGCAGGAAUGGCACUGUUUUUAUUCUGUCUCCUUCCACUUUCUCAUUCGGGACAUAUAAAUGCACAUACAGCUUCCAUAUUGUUUUAGUCCCGGGUCUUCCCUCCAUUCUGUCCUCGUGUGGGUCGUACGCAACUUUAUUAUGCCAUUUUUGCUUUUCAACGUUACGCUUUUAUUUGGUUCCUCUGAAAAGAAGGUAUUUCGUGUCUCUCAACUAUUAUCAUUGCGGUUCCUUUCUGAAGCAAUACAUUUUGUCUUCUUUAAAAGGUGCUUCUCCCCGCCCCCCAUGAUUUUAAUGGCAGUGCGCUUU